AAUUAUUUCUUAAUGUAUGUAAAAUAAUUUUUUGAGUACUAUAUUUGAUUUGAUUAAACUUGAACUAUUCUUAUAAUGCUUAUUAUAAAACAAUUCUAUUGUUUGUUUUAGUUUCUUCCAUUUCAUCCAGUCUCUUCCAAUGUCAAUAUGUUUUUUUUUUUCAGAUAUAAUGUGAACUCUAACAUUAAUAUAAAUAGAUCAAUUGAUUUUUUUCCAUUAUUUUAACAGAAUUUAAAUUUUUAGAACAGAAAUGAUUUUUUUUUAAAUUUAUCAAAUAAAAAAUGUAAUCUGUUUACUUAAAUCAGAAUUCCCUAUUAAUUAAAUUGUUGACUGUGUGUACAAUUUGGGAACUUUUCAGUUUCUCUAGAGACAUUCAUAUCAUGGAUGCUUGUGCCACGAAAAUUUUGGGCUUCUAUUUCUAAAAUUUUGUAACUUCUAUUUACAAAAUAUAUUUCGGAGAUUAUUUUUAAAAAAAGACGUUCCUUUGAAAAAAUUGCUAUAAAUUAGUUCAUAUCUUGCAUUAUUUCGCACGUUUCUGCCUAAGCUAUCCGGACUAACAAGGUACAUAUACUCUUUUUUUAUACAAUGAUUAGUAAAUUUUUAUUUUCUAUUCUAUACCAGAGAUUCUUAAUUGAAAGCCUUCAAACUAUAUUAUUUGAAAAAGUUAAAAUUUACUUUUUAUCAUUAUAAGAGUAUUGUUUUCCGAAGAGCUUCCGAUGCACAGAUUAAGCUUCCACAUAAUUUCUUCAGAAAAUUUUACUUGAAGCUACUUUUACCCCUGAUUCAGACAUUAUUUAUAAUGUCUAUUUUUGUUCAUGGUUUCUUUGAUUUUAAAAUUAUAUACUAUUCUUUAUAAUAUUUUUUAAUUGUAUUUUAUUAUUAUGAUUUAAAGGAAUCUUUUUGAUAUAUAUUUUUUCAAUUUUUCUCAUCUGUUAAUCUUCUGAAGCUUAUCUUCUUCAGGUAUAUUUAUUCACAAUUCUGAGAUGUCCAAGUAACAUCUUCUUUUGUUUUUGCGUCAAACAAAGUUUAAAGCAUUGUUUACUUUCAUUACUUAAGUGCAUACUACAUAUUACUAUUUGUUUGUUUUUUUAAAUCUUGGUGCAAUUAAACAGAACCUGUGCAUGUAAGCAAAAACCAAUUGUAUAUUCAUUAUAUAUCUAUAUGCAUCAUAUUAAAUUAUUUCUUUAACUGACUUAUAACUUGUUUGACAGGAUUGUCAAAGUUUAAAGCAUUGUUUACUUUCAUUACCUAAGUGCAUACUACAUAUUACUAUUUGUUUGUUUGUUUUUUUUAAUCUCGGUGCAAUUAAACAGAACUUGUGCAUGCAAGCAAAAACCAAUUGUAUAUUCAUUAUAUAUCUAUAUGCAUCAUAUUAAAUUAUUUCUUUAACUGAUUGAGUGUUUAUGAAGCUUAAAAACAUUUUAACCUUUUAGUUUUUCCUGAUAAAAAAUCAAAGUAACCUCUUGUAUUUAAUUAGAAAGUUGAGUAUGGCAGAAAAAUUUCUAUAUAAUCUUCAGUCAGUUAAAUUUUGUUUGUGGAAGAAUAAAUUUGAUUCAACUUGUGAUUUUACAUUGCAGCCUUUUCAAAGAAAGAUGGAUUUUAUCAAUGCACUUUUUGCCAGUACUCAAACAAGGAUAGAGCAAAGUUGACCUCCCACAUCAGAGUUCACACUGGUGAAAAACCCUUUAGGUGUCCAAUUUGUGCCAAGCGCUUUUCACAUAAAUGUAGUUUGAAAAAUCAUAUGCUUACGCAUUACAGGACCCAUGUGCUGUAAUAAAUGUAAUAGUUUCACCAAACAAUUUGGAACUGUUCAUCAUUGUGCAUAUUGCACUUAUUCUACAAUGUUGAAGGGAGAUUUAACGAGGCACCUCAGAACACAUACUGGAGAAAGACCUUACCAGUGUAACACUUGUAAAAAAUGUUUUAAUCGAAAAAGUACUUUAAUUCGUCAUAUGAAUACUCAUUUCAAGGACAAUUUCUUGUGAUUUGUAUUAAAUAAUUAUGAAAUUAUAAUUAAUAGUGCAUUAUUUGAUUAGUAGUUAUUGUGUAUUUAAACUAUUCCUUCUCUUUAGUUGUUAUAAACAGAUUGGGAGUUUCCAUGUUUGAAAAAGCUAGAUGGAAACUCCUUCCCUUACUCACAAUUUUCUAAUUGAAUAACAAAUGAAAAAGUGGUUUUUAGU
rnacentral:lncRNA from 1 species